rnacentral:rRNA from 1 species
CCUACGGGAGGCAGCAGUGGGGAAUAUUGCACAAUGGGCGAAACCCUGAUGCAGCGACGCCGCGUGAGUGAAGAAGUAUUUCGGUAUGUUAAGCUCUAUCAGCAGGGAAGUAGAAAGACGGUACUUGACUAAUAAGCCUCGGCUAACUACGUGCCAGCAGCCGCGCUAAUACGUAGGGGGCAAGCGUUAUCCGGAUUUACUGGGUGUAAAGGGAGCGUAGACGGUUGUGCAAGUCUGAAGUGAAAGCCCAGGGCUCAACCCUGGGACUGCUUUGGAAACUGUGGAGCUAGAGUGCGGGAGAGGUAGGUGGAAUGCCUAGUGUAGCGGUGAAAUGCAUAGAUAUUAGGCAGAACACCGAUGGCGAAGGCAGCUUACUGGACAGUAACUGACGUUGAGGCACGAAAGCGUGGGGAGCAAACAGGAUUAGAUACCCUUGUAGUC